rnacentral:rRNA from 1 species
CUACGGGCGCACCAGUCGAGAAUCUUCCGCAAUGGACGAAAGUCUGACGGAGCGACGCCGCGUGCGGGAUGAAGGCCUUCGGGUUGUAAACCGCUGUCAGUGGGGAGGAAAUGCAUCAGGGUUCUCCCUGGUGUUUGACCGAUCCGCAGAGGAAGCGCAGGCUAAGUUCGUGCCAGCAGCCGCGGUAACACGAACUGCGCGAACGUUAUUCGGAAUCACUGGGCUUAAAGAGUUCGUAGGCGGCCUUUCAAGUCGGGUGUGAAAUCCCUCGGCUCAACCGAGGAAUUGCGCCGGAUACUGUUGGGCUUGAGGGGGAUAGGGGUGAGCGGAACUGAUGGUGGAGCGGUGAAAUGCGUUGAUAUCAUCAGGAACACCGGUGGCGAAGGCGGCUCACUGGAUCUCUUCUGACGCUGAGGAACGAAAGCUAGGGGAGCGAACGGGAUUAGAUACCCCGGUAGUC